UUAAACAAGAUGUUUGGACUGGGGUUUGUGUCGAAAGUCUGUCUAGCAGGUUAGCUUGAUGGCGUGUUCUGUUCGGGAUAACGGCGGUACAAAGAGGAGUCCAAGACUAUGUUGAUUUAAGGCACAAGUGUGUUGCAUUAGGGAUUGCUUUAGGGUUCAAAGCAUGUAUGGUUCUGUUAAUACAACCGAUUCAAGGAAGAGUUUGAUUCUAAGAUCAAGUGCACAUGAUAAGAAUCAAAGGGAAUCAAGUUGCAAGGUUUGAUAAGGAAAAAUCAAACGAGGUUUCUGAAAAUCUCAGAAGUAUAGUGAGUGAGAAGGUUACCUGCGACAAUUAUGAAGCUAUGGUGAAGAGAUAUUGGCUUCA
rnacentral:lncRNA from 1 species